UUUCAGUUGUUGAAUGAUAUAGGGGUCCUAUUAUGUUUGUGAGUCUAAUUCCCUCAAAUCAGGUGUGUGUGUGUAUUUUAAUUUAACAAUUCGAGUGCAUUGCAUUGAAUUUACAAAUUGAGGGUUGUGUG